rnacentral:rRNA from 1 species
GAUGAACGCUGGCGGCGUGCCUAAUACAUGCAAGUCGAGCGAACAGAUGAGGAGCUUGCUCCUCUGGCGUUAGCGGCGGACGGGUGAGUAACACGUGGAUAACCUACCUAUAAGACUGGGAUAACUUCGGGAAACCGGAGCUAAUACCGGAUAAUAUAUUGAACCGCAUGGUUCAAUAGUGAAAGACGGUUUUGCUGCCACUUAUAGAUGGAUCCGCGCCGCAUUAGCUAGUUGGUAAGGUAACGGCUUACCAAGGCAACGAUGCGUAGCCGACCUGAGAGGGUGAUCGGCCACACUGGAACUGAGACACGGUCCAGACUCCUACGGGAGGCAGCAGUAGGGAAUCUUCCGCAAUGGGCGAAAGCCUGACGGAGCAACGCCGCGUGAGUGAUGAAGGUCUUCGGAUCGUAAAACUCUGUUAUUAGGGAAGAACAAAUGUGUAAGUAACUAUGCACGUCUUGACGGUACCUAAUCAGAAAGCCACGGCUAACUACGUG